GAUGAACGCUGGCGGCGUGCUUAACACAUGCAAGUCGAACGAAGCAUUUGCGACAGAUUUUUUCGGAAUGAAGUUGCUUAUGACUGAGUGGCGGACGGGUGAGUAACGCGUGGGUAACCUGCCUUGUACUGGGGGAUAGCAGCUGGAAACGGCUGGUAAUACCGCAUAAGCGCACAAUGUUGCAUGACAUGGUGCUAAAAACUCCGGUGGUAUAAGAUGGACCCGCGUCUGAUUAUAUAGUUGGUGAGAUAACAGCCCACCAAGGCGACGAUCAGUAGCCGAGAUGAGAGGGUGAGCGGCCACAUUGGGACUGAGACACGGCCGAGACUCCUACGGGAGGGAGCAGUGGGGAAUAUUGCACAAUGGAGGAAACUCUGAUGCAGCGACGACGCGUGAGUGAAGAAGUAAUUCGUUAUGUAAAGCUCUAGCAGCAAGGAAGAUAGUGACGGUACCUGACUAAGAAGCUACGGCUAAAUACGUG
rnacentral:rRNA from 1 species